UGGCUCAGUGGUAAAGAAUCUGCCUGCAAUGCAGGAGACCUGGGUUCAAUCCCCGG
rnacentral:tRNA from 1 species